UUCUUUUUGUCUCAAACCAUGCCCGUGAAAAGGAAUUUUGAUGUAUUGCAGGGCCCAGCACCCAGAUGCUGUUCCUCUUCUGCCUGGGUCCUGCAUAAGAGAGAAUUAUAGCAUAUUGCUGGGCCCCCACCUGAUGAUAUAACUCUCCUGCCUGUGCCAGAGAAGCAGAAGGUGUUUUUACAUAUCUUGGGCUCAUUCUUUCACAGGCAUGAUGAUCAAAGUUAAAUUGGAAUUCCACCAAGAGUAGAUAUUUUGCCUCUCAUCGCUAUGCUUAGGGCAAUAGGUAAUAUUGUGCCAUAUACCAGAGACCAGAUCAAAGGCCUAAUAAGGACUCUUGUACCUGGAGCCAGGACUUGUGCAGGAUGGUGACUCUCAUCCCUGAACAUUUCCACAGGUGUUAUUGUGACAUAUACCUGUGCCCACCUCCUGAGUGAUUUAAUAAUCCUGCCUGUUAUAGCCCACAGAUGACAUAUUGACGUAUACCUGG
rnacentral:lncRNA from 1 species